rnacentral:lncRNA from 1 species
GAAUGGCGUGAACCCGGGAGGCAGAGCUUGCAAUGAGCCAAGAUCGCGCCACUGCACUCCAGCCUGGGCGACAGAGCGAGACUCCGUCUCAGAAAAAAAAAAAAAAAAAAGAAAGAAAGAAAUUGGCUUGGAGAUUUUUCGCCGGCCACUCCUUCUUGAGCCCUGACUGAAAAGAAAAAUGAACAGGGCUACCUUCUGCCUGGACUCACCCAAAAGCCGGUCUCCUGCAGCCUGAAGCUCUUGUACCUCUAGGCUGAAGAUGAUGAGGAUCACAAGGAGGAGGAAGGCUGCCAACUUCAUGUUGCUGUUGGAAGGCUUUGGAAAAACACAGCAGGGCUGAGAGCAGCUGAAAUUUAUACCUUCCACCCGCUGAGCUGGAAUGCAAGGCCAGGGGUGGGACUAGGGACUGCAGACACCUAAGCCCUGCCCAGAAACUGACAUUUCUGGAGAAUAGCCACCCACCCUGUGUACCCUGGGUCCUUCUACAUUACCUAAGCAAGGCUCUGAGCCAAGGGAACACCCUCCUCUGACAGAAAAAUAAGACUCCUACACCAGGCCAGGUGCAGUGGCUCACAUCUGUAAUCCCAGCACUUUGGGAGGCCAAGGCAGGAGGAUCAUUUGAGCCCAGGAGUUCAAGACCAGCCUGGGUAACAAGAGCAAGACCCUGUCUCUACAAAAUUAAAAAAAAAAAAAAGUUAAAUAAUGAAAAA